UACGUAGGGGGCAAGCGUUGUCCGGAUUUAUUGGGUUUAAAGGGUGCGUAGGCGGCCCGUUAAGUCAGUGGUGAAAGCCUCCAGCUCAACUGGAGAACUGCCAUUGAUACUGACGGGCUUGAGUACAGACGAGGUUGGCGGAAUUGAUUGUGUAGCGGUGAAAUGCAUAGAUACAAUCAAGAACUCCGAUUGCGUAGGCAGCUAACUAGGCUGUAACUGACGCUGAGGCACGAAAGCGUGGGGAGCGAACAGG
rnacentral:rRNA from 1 species